AACGAACGCUGGCGGCAUGCCUAACACAUGCAAGUCGAACGAGACCUUCGGGUCUAGUGGCGCACGGGUGCGUAACGCGUGGGAACCUGCCCUUAGGUUCGGAAUAACUCCCCGAAAGGGGUGCUAAUACCGGAUAAUGUCUUCGGACCAAAGAUUUAUCGCCUUUGGAUGGGCCCGCGUUGGAUUAGCUAGUUGGUAGGGUAAAAGCCUACCAAGGCGACGAUCCAUAGCUGGUCUGAGAGGAUGAUCAGCCACACUGGGACUGAGACACGGCCCAGACCCCUACGGGAGGCAGCAGUGGGGAAUAUUGGACAAGGGGCGAAAGCCUGAUCCAGCAAUGCCGGGGGAGGGAUGAAGGCCUUAGGGUUGUAAAGCUCUUUUACCCGGGAUGAUAAUGACAGUACCGGGGGAAUAAGCCCCGGCAAACCCCGG
rnacentral:rRNA from 1 species